AUUGAACGCUGGCGGAAUGCUUUACACAUGCAAGUCGAACGGCAGCACGGGGGCAGCCCUGGUGGCGAGUGGCGAACGGGUGAGUAAUACAUCGGAACGUGCCCGGUCGUGGGGGAUAACGUAGCGAAAGUUACGCUAAUACCGCAUACGAUCUGAGGAUGAAAGCGGGGGACCUUCGGGCCUCGCGCGAUCGGAGCGGCCGAUGUCAGAUUAGGUAGUUGGUGGGGUAAAGGCCUACCAAGCCGACGAUCUGUAGCUGGUCUGAGAGGACGACCAGCCAACUGGGGCCUGGGCCCCGCCCCGGCCUCCUCGGGGGGGCAGCGGGGGGGAAUUUGGGACAAGGGGCGCAAGCCUGAUCCAGCCAUCCCGGGGGCAGGACGAAGGCCUUCGGGUUGUAAACUGCUUUUUUACGGAAAGAAAAGGCUCUGGCUAAUACCUGGGGCUCAUGACGGUACCGUAAGAAUAAGCCCCGGCUAACUCCGU
rnacentral:rRNA from 1 species